UCACAUACACACACUCACACACACACUCACACAUUCACACAUACACACACACACAUACACACACACACAAAGCACAGCUUCUACUCAGCUCCAAGAGCCAGAGACAUAGAGAAACUGAGCGAGAGAAGCAAAGAAACCCUUGCAGCUCUGCUUCAUCAUGUGUGAAGCUUCCCAUCUUCAGGACUAUCCACAGAAGCCCAGAUGAACGGCAGCCCGAGGACAAGCCGAACCCGGGGCCCCGCCAAGACCCUCCACUGGACGAAGAGACGAAGGGUCAGAGUGGAGGAGGUCCGAAGGUGCCCUGGGGACGUCCGAGUCAGGGAGACCCGGGUCCCACGCUGCCUCGGUGCCAGACAGUGUCGAGGAGGUGUCUGUCUCAGCCCCCACAAGGACCCGUGCAGGCCGGUCCGGUGCUCAGGCUGUGUGUCUCCUCGGCUGUGGGCUUCAUUUCUUCUUUGUUUUCUUCUUUGUUUUGUUGAUAACAACAGCGGGCAAUUGAGAAGGGUGGGUGAGAAAGAGAGGGAGGAAAAAAAAGAGACAUACAGCCUCUG